AGAAUAACUUGAACCUGGAAAGCAGAGGUUGCAGUGAGCUGAGAUGGUGCCGCUGCACUCCAGCCUGGGUGACAGAG
rnacentral:snRNA from 1 species